rnacentral:rRNA from 1 species
UUUGGAGGAAAAGGCAGGGGAUCGCAAGACCUUGCGCUUUUGGAGCGGCCGAUGUCUGAUUAGCUAGUUGGUGAGGUAAAGGCUUACCAAGGCUUCGAUCAGUAGCUGGUCUGAGAGGACGACCAGCCACACUGGGACUGAGACACGGCCCAGACUCCUACGGGAGGCAGCAGUGGGGAAUUUUGGACAAUGGGGGAAACCCUGAUCCAGCCAUGCCGCGUGAGUGAAGAAGGCCUUCGGGUUGUAAAGCUCUUUCAGCCGGAACGAAAAGGUCACGGUUAAUACCCGUGACUAAUGACGGUACCGGAAGAAGAAGCACCGGCUAACUACGUGCCAGCAGCCGCGGUAAUACGUAGGGUGCGAGCGUUAAUCGGAAUUACUGGGCGUAAAGCGUGCGCAGGCGGUUUUGUAUAGUCAGAUGGAAGCACGCAUAAACCUUCAAAGAGGA